rnacentral:rRNA from 1 species
UAGCCUUGACAUACUACAGGAUUUGACAGAGAUGUUGGAGUGCCUUCGGGAGCUGUAAUACAGGUGCUGCACGGCUGUCGUCAGCUCGUGUCGUGAGAUGUUGGGUUAAGUCCCGCAACGAGCGCAACCCUCGUCCUUAGUUACUAACGGUUCGGCCGAGGACUCUAAGGAGACUGCCUUCGUAAGGAGGAGGAAGGUGAGGACGACGUCAAGUCAUCAUGGCCCUUACGGCUAGGGCAACACACGUGCUACAAUGGUUAGGACAAUGAGAAGCGAUACCGCGAGGUGGAGCAAAUCUAUAAACCUAAUCUCAGUUCGGAUAGCAGUCUGCAACUCGACUGCUUGAAGCUGGAAUCACUAGUAAUCGUAAAUCAGCUAUGUUACGGUGAAUACGUUCCCGGGUCU